UUUCGCAAUGCCCGAAAGGGUGACGAAGCGACGCCGCGUGGGUGAGGAAGGCCUUCGGGUUGUAAAGCCCUGUCAGGAGUUAAGAAAUGUAGACUCGCUAAUAUCGGGUCUAUUUGACAAAGGCUCCAAAGGAAGCCACGGCUAACUCUGUGCCAGCAGCCGCGGUAAUACAGAGGUGGCAAGCGUUGUUCGGAAUUAUUGGGCGUAAAGAGCACGUAGGUGGAUUUGUAAGUCAGACGUGAAAGCCUUCUGUUCAACGGAAGAAUUGCAUCUGAAACUACAAACCUUGAGUGUAGGAGGGGAGAACGGAACUUCUGGUGGAGCGGUGAAAUGCGUAGAUAUCAGAAGGAACGCCGGCGGCGAAAGCGAUUCUCUGGCCUAUUACUGACACUCAGUGUGCGGAAGCUAGGGGAGCAAACGGGAUUAGAUACCCCGGUAGUCCUAGCCGUAAACGAUGGGCACUAAGUAGAGGGGUUUU
rnacentral:rRNA from 1 species